AUUGAACGCUGGCGGCAGGCCUAACACAUGCAAGUCGAACGAGUGGCGGACGGGUGAGUAAUGUCUGGGAAACUGCCUGAUGGAGGGGGAUAACUACCGGAAACGGUAGCUCAUACCGCAUACCAUCGGAUGUGCCCAGAUGGGAUUAGCUAGUAGGGGGGGUAACGGCUCACCUAGGCGACGAUCCCUAGCUGGUCUGAGAGGAUGAGAAUGCACGAUGGAACUGAGACACGGUCCAGACUCCUAAGGUAGGCAGCAGUGGGGAAUAUUGCACAAUGGGCGCAAGCAUGAUGCAGCCAUGCCGCGUGUAUGAAGAAGGCCUUCGGGUUGUAAAGUACUUUCAGCGGGGAGGCGUUACCCGCAGAAGAAGCACCGGCUAACUCCGUGCCAGCAGCCGCGGUAAUAC
rnacentral:rRNA from 1 species